rnacentral:rRNA from 1 species
GUCCACGCCGUAAACGAUGGGUGCUAGGUGUGGGCGGUGUCGACUCCGUCCGUGCCGAAGCUAACGCAUUAAGCACCCCGCCUGGGGAGUACGGCCGCAAGGCUAAAACUCAAAGGAAUUGACGGGGGCCCGCACAAGCAGCGGAGCAUGUGGUUUAAUUCGACGCUACGCGAAGAACCUUACCAAGGCUUGACAUGUACCGGAAUGUCGUAGAAAUACGGCAGCCCUUCGGGGCCGGUACACAGGUGGUGCAUGGCUGUCGU